GACGAACGCUGGCGGUGUGCUUAACACAUGCAAGUCGAACGGUAAGGCCCUUUCGGGGGUACGCGAGUGGCGAACGGGUGAGUAACACGUGAGUAACCUGCCCUCAUCUCUGGGAUAACAGUCGGAAACGGUUGCUAAUACUGGAUAUGAGCUUGCAAGGCAUCUUGUGGGUUGGAAAGAUUUUUUUUGGUUGGGGAUGGGCUCGCGGCCUAUCAGCUUGUUGGUGAGGUAGUGGCUCACCAAGGCUUCGACGGGUAGCCGGCCUGAGAGGGCGACCGGCCACAUUGGGACUGAGAUACGGCCCAAACUCCUACGGGAGGCAGCAGGGGGGAAUAUUGCACAAUGGACGGAAGUCUGAUGCAGCAACGCCGCGUGCGGGAUGACGGCCUUCGGGUUGUAAACCGCUUUCAAUUGUGACGAAGCUUUUUUGUGACGGUAGCAGUAGAAGAAGCACCGGCUAACUACGUG
rnacentral:rRNA from 1 species